UACCAGACUCCUACGGGAGGCAGCAGUGGGGAAUAUUGCACAAUGGGGGAAACCCUGAUGCAGCGACGCCGCGUGAGCGAUGAAGUAUUUCGGUAUGUAAAGCUCUCUCAGCAGGGAAGAAGAUGACGGUACCUGACUAAGAAGCCCCGGCUAACUACGUGCCAGCAGCCGCGGUAAUACGUAGGGGGCGAGCGUUAUCCGGAUUCACUGGGUGUAAAGGGAGCGUAGACGGCCAUGCAAGCCAGGGGUGAAAGCCCGGGGCCCAACCCCGGGACUGCCCUUGGAACUGCAUGGCUGGAGUGCGGGAGGGGCAGGCGGAAUUCCUGGUGUAGCGGUGAAAUGCGUAGAUAUCAGGAGGAACACCGGCGGCGAAGGCGGCCUGCUGGACCGCGACUGACGUUGAGGCUCGAAAGCGUGGGGAGCGAACAGGAUUAGAUACCCUCGUAAU
rnacentral:rRNA from 1 species